rnacentral:lncRNA from 1 species
AUGCCUACACUGCACACCUGCACACACCACCGCUACACCCAACUCACCUCUGCACACAACUGCACAUACCAUGCCUGCACCGAACACCUGUACCCACGACUCACCUGCACACACCACCGCACCUACACACCACUCACCUGCACACCACAGCGCCUACACCCAACUCACCUGACACAACUGCACACACCACCAUGCCUGCACCAAACACCUGUAAACACCACUCACCUGCACACACCACCGCACCUACUCCCAACACUCACCUGCACACACCACCGCGACUGCACUGAACACAUACCUGCACUCACCACUCACCUGCACACACCACCGCGCCUGCACCGAACACACACUGCACACACCACUGUGCCUACACCCAGCACUCACCUGCACACACGCCUACACACCCAACACAUCUGCGCACACUGCCUACACCCAGCACUCACCUGUGCAUACUGCCACACCCACACCUACACCCAGAUAGCUACCCAUGCCAUGUCUACACUCAAUACCUGCACAACGUACAGCAACCCAUAUUGCCACGUCUAUACCCAAUACACCUGCACGCCUCCACGCAGCUACCCACACGUCUACAAACACACCUACACACCACACACCCACCCUCACCAUGUCUACACCCAACACACAUACUUGCACGUACCCCAACACAACUACCCACACCAGACACCCCAUACCUGCACACACUCCCCCCUUUACACCUACAACACACCUGCACACAUCUACACACACCCACACCACAUGGACACCCAGCACCUGCACACACCCCCACAGCUACCCACACCAUAUCGACACCCAACUCACCUGCACACAACCCCCCACACCAUCACGUCUACACUCACCCACCCCUGCACCCACAAGUCUACACCCAACACUCACCUGCACACACCCACACUACAGCACAUACACCCACACAGCUACCCACACUACCAUGUCUACACCCAACAGCCCUGCACACACACCCAUACCACGUCUACACCCAACACUCAUACCCUAUACAUAUACCCACACAGCUACCCCCACCAUGGCUACACUUGCACGCACACCCACACAGCUACCCAUGCCACGUCUACACACAACACACACAUUCACACCCCACCCCCAAGACACCAAGACGCACCCGUCCACAGCCAGCAGCAGGAACCAGAUGAAGUUGAGCAGCGGCUCCACAAACGGAGGCCCGUCCUCGAUGGACGGGUGCUUCUGGGUGUAUGUCGUGAAGACCACCGACGCGCUACUUUUGUUUUUUAA